UACGUAGGGUGCAAGCGUUAAUCGGAAUUACUGGGCGUAAAGCGUGCGCAGGCGGUUAUGCAAGACAGAUGUGAAAUCCCCGGGCUCAACUUGGGAACUGCAUUUGUGACUGCAUAGCUGGAGUGCGGCAGAGGGGGAUGGAAUUCCGCGUGUAGCAGUGAAAUGCGUAGAUAUGCGGAGGAACACCGAUGGCGAAGGCAAUCCCCUGGGCCUGCACUGACGCUCAUGCACGAAAGCGUGGGGAGCAAACAGG
rnacentral:rRNA from 1 species